rnacentral:rRNA from 1 species
UACGAAGGGGGCGAGCGUUGUUCGGAAUUACUGGGCGUAAAGGGCGCGUAGGCGGCCUUAGAAGUCAGAUGUGAAAGCCCCGGGCUCAACCUGGGAAUGGCAUUUGAUACUCUGAGGCUGGAGUACGGGAGAGGAGAGUGGAAUUCCCAGUGUAGAGGUGAAAUUCGUAGAUAUUGGGAAGAACACCGGUGGCGAAGGCGGCUCUCUGGACCGUAACUGACGCUGAGGCGCGAAAGCGUGGGGAGCAAACAGG